rnacentral:rRNA from 1 species
GAUGAACGCUGGCGGCGUGCCUAAUACAUGCAAGUCGAGCGAACAGACGAGGAGCUUGCUCCUCUGACGUUAGCGGCGGACGGGUGAGUAACACGUGGAUAACCUACCUAUAAGACUGGGAUAACUUCGGGAAACCGGAGCUAAUACCGGAUAAUAUAUUGAACCGCAUGGUUCAAUAGUGAAAGACGGUUUUGCUGUCACUUAUAGAUGGAUCCGCGCCGCAUUAGCUAGUUGGUAAGGUAACGGCUUACCAAGGAAACGAUGCGUAGCCGACCUGAGAGGGUGAUCGGCCACACUGGAACUGAGACACGGUCCAGACUCCUAAGGGAGGCAGCAGUAGGGAAUCUUCCGCAAUGGGCGAAAGCCUGACGGAGCAACGCCGCGUGAGGGAUGAAGGUCUUCGGAUCGUAAAACUCUGUUAUUAGGGAAGAACAAAUGUGUAAGUAACUAUGCACGUCUUGACGGUACCUAAUCAGAAAGCCACGGCUAACUACGUG